ensembl:lncRNA
CGGUGAUACCCCCAUUCAGCCAAUCAAUGCAUUUCAACCAGUCAUCAGUCCCUUUGAACUGCUGAAAGGCUUCACUAAAUGUAUGUAUUUAAGAAAGAGUGCUCGCAGCUCUUAAUUGAUACCAUUGUGAAUGGUAGGGUAUGGAGUGGAGAGGCCCGCUGUGCUGCUGCUACUGCUGCGGCUGCCCACACACCGGUGCUGUUGCACUGUUUGGCCGCCGGAGGGCAGCGCGGGACCGGAACCAAGUGGCACCGGAGGGAGGGAGAGAGGGAAUGCGGUCGAGAGAUCGCUGGCCGUGCAACACGGACUACAGUUCAUCUCACGGAGGGGUAUGAUUACUCACGUAGCUCUGCGGCGAGCUUCCAUUCUCUAUGCAGACAAGAACGUGCCUGUAUCACUCUGGCGGUGCCUUCCUUUACCUCUGCCGUUGCCAGCGUGGUUCUGCCUGAGAGACAGAGGAGAAAAACAGAGUGACGUGGAGAGAAAAAAAGAUGGAGAAACAGUAAAGAGGUGAGGGGCGACGUGAGUCUCUUGAUGAGGCGAUACCUUGUCCGUACACACCAACACAAACUGUGCUGAGGUAAUGGUAUGGUAAUGAAAUGCUAAUGAUAUGCUAAUCCAGCAGCAGUAUUCCAUAUCAGCGGUGUGAGAGGAUUUCAGUGAGGUCCUUCACCAGUGGGUGGAAAGGAAAGACCUCCUGAUCUCACUGUACACACACACACACACCGAACACUUACUUAUUCACCAAACGGAUGCACUCACGCACUCAUUUUUCCAUCUGAUUGUAAUUUGGAGAGUCUAGGCAAAAGAGAAAGAGUUGUGGAGAAGCUGAAUUACCAGCUACAAUCUGGCAACCCUCUCUGGUUCAAACACACUUAUG